UGAGGAGGGCCGCCUCCUGACACAGUGCAAUUGCUGCCACUGACUUACUCUGCUCCCUUUGUCAGGGGUGGGGGACCCAUUUCAGGCCAUGGGCCACAAGCCCUGUGGGGACGGUUCCAGGGGCCACAUGUCAAAGGCGGGCAGUGCAAGGCAAAAAGCAGCAGCGGGUGCCAGAGCUUUCUGCAGGCACAGCAUUCUCUGUCUAGGCAAGCAAGCAAGAGGCGAUAUCGACGUUCAGGGCCCUGUUCCAGGCACCCAGCUGGAGUUGCUGUGGCGCAGGAUGGGUGAGCAACCUACCAUGGGGAGGGGGGAAGAUGGUCUAGGGACAGAACAGACAGAGGCCUGGAGACCCCAGAGGUCCGGUGCGCCCGCACCUGUCUGGCUCUAGGCACUCUCUCCCCGCCCCACCUGCAGCGCAGAGCAGCUUUCCUCCUCCCCACCCGCAGGAUCGGGGUCCCGCUCCGCAUUUUGCCCCUUGGGAAGAAGAAGAGAAUCGCCCUCCCCGCACUUGUUUGGUCCACUUUCAGUGUGUCCCGAUUGUUUUCAUUUUUCUAUGCAAAAAUGUGCGCGGCAGAGCAGGUGCUUCGGGCGCAGGAGGCCCCGGGGUAGACCCUCCGGGCAGGGCAAGAGUGGGCAGCCCCGCCGGAGCCCCCGGAGGGCAGCCGGGGAAGUAGGACAUAAGGCAGACCUAAGUGGACCAGUGCCGAUGUUGCUGAAAUGGUGUAUGUGCGUCUCUUUUUGAAAACGGACAAAGCCUGAGGAACUCCCGGCCACGACCCCUAGGAGACAUUUCGCAGCAGUCCUGCCCGGCGGCGGCAGGGGGCGCGGUGGGGCGCAUGCGCGCGGGGCAAUGGCCGCCGCGGCGUGUGGCUCCUCUUCUGGCGGAGUUCCUGAGGACGUGUGUGCGCCGACCACGCCGCUCCCUCCAGGACGCCGUAGCUGCGAGUGCGUCAAGCAUGGCGAGCGCGCCCAAGCGGGCCAAGGUGGAGCUCCGCAACCCACUCGACGGGCGAAGCCGAAGCCCCUCUCCCCGUGCUCCGCAGGCGGCGUCGGGCGGCGUCGGUGCUUCGGCGCCCCUCUCGGCCUUCCUGGGCUGGUGCGCCGAGGCGGGCCUGGAGCUGAGUGCCAAGGUCAGUGUGAGCAGAGAAGGCACAGUAGCUGAUUACGGCCUGAUAGCCAGAGAGGAUGUUGAGGCUGGGGAAGUCCUUUUCACCGUCCCAAGAACAGCACUCCUUUCACAGCAUACAAGCUCCCUUGCUUCCCUCCUGGAGAAAGAACAAGCCUCCCUGGUGAGUCAGUCUGGCUGGGUUCCCCUCCUGCUUUCCCUGCUACAUGAAUCCACAGUCAGCAGUUCCCGCUGGGGCCCUUAUUUGUCUCUGUGGCCCAACUUCAGUGGUCUGGAUCACCCCAUGUUCUGGAGUUACGAAGAACGGCUCAGGCUUCUGCAAGGAACAGGGAUACCAGAAGCUGUGGACAAAGACUUGGCCAGUAUCGAGACGGAGUAUUCCUCUAUCAUCCUGCCUUUCCUGAAGGCCCAUCCAGAUAUCUUCAACCCCAAAGUGCAUACUCUGGAGCUGUACAAGAAGCUGGUGGCAUUUGUCAUGGCCUAUAGUUUCCAGGAGCCUUUGGAUGAGGAAGAGGAAGAUGAGGAGGAGCCCAAUCCUCCUGUGAUGGUGCCCCUAGCAGAUCUCUUGAAUCAUGUGGCUGACCACAAUGCCAACUUGGAAUAUUCCCCGGAGGUCUUGAAAAUGGUUGCAACUCAGUCCAUCUGCAAAGGCCAAGAGAUCUUCAACACGUACGGGGAGAUGGCAAACUGGCAGCUCCUCCACAUGUAUGGUUUUGCUGAACCAUAUCCUGGCAACACAAAUGAUGCUGCUGACAUCCAGAUGUUGACUCUUUGCAAAGCAGCGCUGCAAGCUACAAAGACAGAAGUGCAGCAUCUGCUGGUCUUGGAGCAGUGGGACUUCCUUUGCCAGAUGGAGAUGGUGGGCAAAGAAGGAGCAUUUGUGUUUGGCUGGGAGAGAAUUUUGACUGAAGAAGAGCUGUCCAUGGCAUUGCAGGUGCUAACUAUGUCUGCUGAUGAGUUCAAGAAGUUCAAGGAGCAAGAAAUCCAAGAGGCAGAAAGGAGUGAGGGUGGUGGUGUGUGCCUCAUGCUCUCAAAUGCUACAAUACCAAGACUUGAAGCCUCUUCGAAGAAGCUGCUCUUUGAUGCUGCCGUACUAACCCUGAAGUUGUACAACUCAGACUUGAAAGAGGAGGAAGAGAAGCUCAGAGACCCUCCGGCUUAUGCAAAGCUCAGCUGCCGUGAGCAGUUUUCCCUGCAAGUGCGCUACGGACAGAAGAAGAUUUUGCACCAGUUGCUUGACCUGGCAAGCUAGUUGCAGCUGAGGGGAGUAAGCACUGUUGGCCUGGAGUCCUUAGCUGAAAGUUUCUAUAAAGACAGAGCAGUUGCUAAUUCAUGAAAGGAACUGGCUGCUCAUGGAAAGGACUGCCCAGCUCUUGUUUUGCGAAAGCUCAAGAAAAUAUGUCUACAGCAGGGGUUGCUAAUCUUUUCAGCUCAAUGGGCAAAAGUUUGGAUUUUUUGAGCGUGUGCCAGUCACAAAAGAGCUGCCAUGGGGACACAGCAUAACACAAAAGCAGAGCGAGUACAGACAUCGUUGCUCUUCCCCCCCCCCCUUACUAUAGAAAGUUAAGAUUGAGGUGCUACAGCUGUUAAAGGCACAAAAAGUUUUUCUCCAAUGCCAACUCCAGACGAAAGGCUAGACUACCAAAUUAUUCCUACUUACCUGGGAGUAAGCACUAUUAAAGACAAAGAAACUUGCGUAGAUGUGCCUUACACGGCUUGGGACCACAAUACCUGAUGGAACACCUCUCCCAAUACAAACCCACCCGUACACAACGUUCAAGAUCAAAGGCCCUCUUCCGGGUGCCCCCUCUGAGGGAAGCUGGGAGUCUGGCAACAAGGGAGAGGGCCUUCUCAGUGGUGGCCCCCAAAUUAUGGAAUGAUCUCCCUGAUGAGGUGCGCCUGGCGCCAACACGGUUAUCUUUUCAGCGCCAGGUCAAGACUUUCCUCUUCUCCCAGGCAUUUUAGCAUUUGUUUUAUACUGUUUAAAUUUUUUAAUUGUGUUUUAAAUUGUUUUCAUAAGAUCUGUUUUAAAUUGUAUUUGUUUUAAUGUUUUUAGCUACUGUAAACCGCCCAAAGAGCUUCGGCUAUGGGGCGGU